GGCCCUAAACAAGUGGUGGAGCAUGUGGUUUAAUGCGAUAAUACGCGCGAAACCUUACCAAUCCUUGAUGUUUAAAAAAGAACUUUUGCUGUUUGGUAAAAUAUACUCUUUUUUUAACAGGUGUUGCAUGGCUGUCGUCAGCUCGUGUUGUGAAAUGUUUGGUUAAGUCCUUUAACGAGCGCAACCCCUUUCUUUUUUUGCUCUUUUUCUUAAAAAAGUACUUUAAAGAUAUUGACUGCUAUAAGCAGUAGGAAGAGGGAUGAAGUCAAGUCCUUAUGGCCCUUAUGGAUUGGGCUACACACGUGCUACAAUGGUAAAGACAACAAGAAGCAAUGAAGUAAUUUGGAGCAAAUCUUUUAAAACUUUAUCUUAGUUCGGAUUAACGACUGCAAUUCGUCGUUAUGAAGUUGGAAUCACUAGUAAUCGC
rnacentral:rRNA from 1 species